rnacentral:lncRNA from 1 species
CACAUCAUCACCACAGGAGGAUUGUCUCAUGACCGUGGAGUCCUUGCAUUUAUAUAAAAAAAAUAGUCAUGAUAACUAGGAAAGGCUGUCUCUUCAGGCAUUCAACCCAGUCUGGCUAGAGAUAGAGGCUCCUGAUGUUGGCCUAUGAAAUCUUGGGGAUCAAGCCAUCCUUCCAUUUGAGCUCUGGAGUUGAUGGGCCUACCCCAGUAGGCCCCAUGCCACCAUGCCCGGCUGGUACUCAUCCAUCUCCACUUUACAAAUGAGGAGCUGAGACUCAGACAACACAGCAAGCCCAAGAUCACAGGGCCUAAAAGUGGCGGAGGUGAGUGGGCUCAUGAUCUACAGUUGAAAGAAUUUCAUUGAUGCAAAACUCAGUUGCCCUAUUUACCCUAUGAUAUUCCCAACUGGGAAACCAAAAACAAUGAGCAGACUUCAGAGAACUGCCAGAAAUGACCAUUCUUCCACUGCAGAGUGGGAUGUGAGAGGCCACAGCACAGUCGUGGAUCACCUAGUGGGCUUUGGGCGAAGGCAGAUCUCAGUUCAGCCAUUUUCUGAUUGGAGCCCUCUGUUUGCUCAUCUGAGAGAGUAAAGGAGAAGGAAGGCCUGGCACAAAACUAGGCAGCACAACUUCCUUCAGUGCUCUGACCUCAUACAUCAAGCCAGGCUACCACCUUCUCAACCAGGAAUGCGAAGGGCAAGACAGAUCUUCCUGGCACUGAUGAGCUAUCAGAGAAUCCCAACUGACCAGCAGGCCUGUGUAUUCCCUGGA